AAUGAGAUUACAAGGCAUGCUUAUUUCCCCUCGGCUCUCAAAUACCGAAAACGCAAGGGACCGCGCCAGGCCACUGUCCGUUCAGGAUAGGAGUGGGCUCCUGAGAACAUCUAGCUACUUCUUCUUGGCUAAAGAUGUUGUCUUUAGCGGCCGCCUUUCUCCUGACCGCAAUCAAUGGCUAAUUUAUCACUAGACCUGCAAACUCUAGACACUGCGAUCCUUCCCUCCCCACUUCCCCGUCUGUCUGUCUGUCUGUCUGUCUCUCUCUCUCUCUCUCUCCCCUCCCGCAUUCUCACACACAGCACACACAGGAAGGCUCCCUGUCCCUAACCGCCCCUGGCAUCAGGGACAGGGGUAGGUACUAUCUGAUGAGAUGAAGGAUAUAGACAGUUGAGGGACAGAUGGCUGGGAGGAGAUGGGCCGGAAGUCUAGCAGGGGAUGGACUUGCAACAAGUACAAGGCCGCGGGAGGCAAGGCUUUGGCUGAAUGCUCUGGCGGGAUGCGGUGACAGAACAGUUUCAUUGACUUCGCCGGGCAUUAGGGAAAGCCCAAGCCUCGCCCCCGCAGGCCAGUCACCUGCACGGCCCUCCUUCUUAGCCCCUACUCUUCAGAACCAAGAAAGCAGCAGGAAGCCCAGGGCUCGCCGGAGUUCAGGUCAUCUCCUGUUUUUUUGAUGGGCUCAAACUUGGACUAAAUGAGCGGAUAUGCCUGCAAGAUUGGUCUCAAAAUAGAAGCGGUCCUAGUAUUUUAGGAUACUGCAGAAAUCCUUAUUUCUUCCGGAGAAAAACUCUAUAACGACUCCUAGCACUUCCCCUUUCAAUAUUUGUGCAACUUUAUCUCCACCGGCAAGUUGCUGUGAUGACGCAAAUCCGCUCUUCUGUAUUACAACUUCCAAAAUAAAUGCACGGAAAUCAA